CUGGAUGGCUCAACAACUCCCCAGACAGCUGCUGGACCCGCGCUCCCAGACGCACAGCACAGGGUCUGCGAGGACCUUUGGCUGCAGUCCAGCUGCCUGGUCCCUGGAGCAGUGUCUUCUCUCUGGCGCCCUCCCCCACGCCGCAGAGCCCUCCCGCGCCUUGAGUGACGACUGAGUGACGGAGCCCUAGCGGUGUCCUAGAGAAAGGCACAGGCAGGCAUAUCCUGUGCACAGCCCCCACAAGAUAAAGGAAUCUGAGAGCUUUCGCCCAGCCUUUGAGA